rnacentral:lncRNA from 1 species
GGAAAUGGAAAUGAUGUCUCAAAGUAAAAGGUCUGAGCAGGAGGAAGUGUUGGUAGUAAUGAAAUGUGUGGAACAAGGAAGAGGGCCCCUGUCCUUUUCCAAGCUAUGAUACUGUGACGUUCGCAACCUCUUCUACAUUAAUUAGACCAUGCUUUUUGUUGAAGCUUGGUCAAGGGUUCAAAAAAGGCAUGAUUACAUUCUAACAUUGAAUGCUAAUCUAGAUUUCGCCCUGACAUUUUGUUCCCACAAGUGAUACAUAUUUCAGCUAUCAUCACUUUCACUUGCAUUGAUCAAACCUUCUUGCUGAUCCUCCUCCCUGCUACCUUAGACCCCUUCAUCUCAUCCGGAAAAGGGAACUAGUCGAUGAAAGCAAAUGUAAAUAGUAUGUGAUUGACUUUCGUAUUUGCUUAGAUGAAUGUAUUUGUGUUUAGCGGAUAUUAAUAGAGGGCUUUUGUAGUUAUUCAUUUCCUAUUACACUAUAUUGAACACUGAAAAGAGUGUUGAACUAUGAAGUGUGCUAAUUGUGAUUAUCAUAAAAGUCAGCUAUUGGGAAGACAAAAAUGAAAUAAUGGCUUCUUUAGACAAUGAGAAUGAGUACUUGUAAUUACUGUCUCGCUUGCCUGAGGACUUUCAUAUCGUUGUUUUCGGGACAUAUUGCAGGUUUGUUAAGAUUAGCUCGGUAAAAAUUAUGCCAAAUGCCUCGCCUCGCUUCCUGGAUGUGCGCACUUGUCUUGGUGGUUUUCGUAUUUGGUUGAUGGAUAUCAAAGAACUUUUUCCUAAUCCUGUCCUCUUUCUUUCCCG